GUGGGGAAUCUUGCGCAAUGGGCGAAAGCCUGACGCAGCCAUGCCGCGUGGAUGAUGAAGGUCUUAGGAUUGUAAAAUCCUUACACCGGUGAAGAUAAUGACUGUAGCCGGAGAAGAAGCCCCGGCUAACUUCGUGCCAGCAGUCGCGGUAAUACGAAGGGGGCUAGCGUUGCUCGGAUUUACUGGGCGUAAAGGGCGCGUAGGCGGACAUUUAAGUCAGGGGUGAAAUCCCGGGGCUCAACCUCGGAACUGCCUUUGAUACUGGGUGUCUUGAGUAUGAGAGAGGUGUGUGGAACUCCGAGUGUAGAGGUGAAAUUCGUAGAUAUUCGGAAGAACACCAGUGGCGAAGGCGACACACUGGCUCAUUACUGACGCUGAGGCGCGAAAGCGUGGGGAGCAAACAGGAUUAGAAACCCUAGUAGUCC
rnacentral:rRNA from 1 species